GUAUAGGCUUAUCGGAUGGCUAGUCAUUGGUAUGGCCCAAUGACUGAGUCGCAAAUCUAGUGUUUUUCUUGAUUGUGUUUAAGUGUCAAGUGCUUUGGGGGAAUUGCAUUUUCUAGACUGCAAUUUAGACAUUUUUAAAGUGAGU